GAAGGGCUCAUGUGAAGUGUAAAUUUUGAUAGAUCUAUCACUGUAAGAAACAACCCCAAUUCAAUUUGAAAGGACAGUAAGAGAGAGAGGAAGAGCAGAGAAAAAGAAGAAGCCAGAAUGUGAGAUGCCAAAGCCAAAACCCCUUUGGUAAAAAGAGUAUAGCGGCACCUUCAAAUUCUGACUUAGAAUUCUGCUCUUUAUUUCCCAACAUAGCAUUUGCGAUGGAAUUGGGUAUUAUUUCCCACAUAAGACAUUUUCUCUCUUUGUAAUCAUCGCCCAUUUUCACCUUCAGC
rnacentral:lncRNA from 1 species